GUCGACGUACUUCAUAGGAUCAUUUCUAUAGGAAUCGUCACUCUUUGACUCUUCAAAAGAGCCACUGAAUCCAACUUGGUUGAUGAGCCGAAGAACCUUUGUACCCAAGAGUGAGAAAUAAGAAUGUAUCAUUAGCUUGGUCCACAACCCUUAGCGGUUUGGCCAUCUACUCCAACAUUUCUUUGUUUUGCCUUUUGCAAUGGUUGUACAUGGAUAGGGGUUUAGGGAAUUAGAGGUAGGGUCCUCGGACCUUUGCUUCUUUUACCUUUCUCUCCGUUUUAACUCCUGUAUACCGCUUUAAAUUGGCGCGAUGAUCUUUGCCCAGUUUGUGUACCUCUUCGCGAGGGGACAAACAUUAAUGGGUGGGUACAAAUGGCAGUCUGACAAGU
rnacentral:snoRNA from 1 species